UACCGCAGCUCCAACCCCGAUCACUACUGCGCAGACUCUGGCUCAAAAUUACGUCACCUGCAGAAGAUGGCAGCGCCCGUGUCCGGGAUAUUUUGGCUUACUUUUUGCACAGUGGGAGGAAUUGGAGACGCGUCGUGCAUCUCUAUAUACAGUCUAUGCUUGAGACGCAUGUGGAGACGCAUUCUAAUGCCAGGAGUGAACUGAAGUACUUGGAGCUGUCCACUUCAGAUCGGAUCACCCAAGACGCAUGUCAAAGCCAGGUGUAAACAGGGCCUCACAAAUGUGUUGAAUGCAUUUCCUUCCUUAUAAAAUAUUUCCAAAGCCAAUUUUUAGUAUUUCUAAUCCAGCAUUGUUUACAUCCAUGUUAACUAGCUUGCAGUCUUCUUCUUCCCUGCCUUUGUUGUCGCAUUUCUGCAUAUCUUGGCAUGUUACUGCCACCUGUAGAUCAUCGGGAUAGUGUGAAACCAUUGGUGAGUAAAUGUGCACCCUGGUGCGCAUGCUCGAUAUGAACAACACGGGGAUCCACUCAUAGGAAAACAGCUCCAUAGCACUACUGGAGGGGAUGAAUGUCCAUGAAUGUCUGUACAACAUUUUGUGCAAAUCCAUCAAGUAGAUGUUAAGCUAUUUCAGUCUGGACCAAAGUGUUGGACCGACCAACAGACUGACCGACCAACAAACCAACACUGGCAUCUCUAAAGCCAUGAAUGGCUAAAAGCAUCCUCUGGGUGUAGUACAAUCAGUGAAUGUUCUUUAUGCCGUCCUGCAGAGAGCCACUGCAUCUCUGUGGCCGGAAAAUGUCAAGGUGGUUGAAAUUUGCCACUGCUUGCUUUCGUUUUUCUUCGUUGUUUCAUAUCAUAUCUAGAACCAAAAAGAGUAAAAGCAGUGCCCUCCGGCAAGACUGUUGAUGACUGUCUUGUCAUGAACAAAGGUUAACUGUAGAGUUCAAUAACGCCUACAAAAUCCCUAUCCUCAAAUCAUCUGAAAAACAACUCCAGUCUCACAAAAACAGUGUGGUGAAGAUUCCAUACAGGUCACUAUAGUAACUUGUGUUUACUUAGAUGACGGAGUCCUGCACAAUCUAAUCAUCCCUUCAGAGAGAUAGCGCUCCCUGCAUUUACUCAGUUAGCGGGAGGGACGUCUGCUCCUCCUUUCUCCUCGUGUCUUUGAUCCUCUUCUCCGGGUGAGGAAAACUGUUUUGGUAGCAGCAGUCAGAUGGCCUCCUCCAUCUCUGGGAGUGAGAUGACCGAUCCUCCUUGAAUUCAUCAUGCACAACACUGACAAUCUCAAGAGUUUGUCCGGAGUGGACCUUUCCAUCGCCUUGUCAGUGAGGGGCAGCCAAGUGCGGAGAGUGGAAACCGGACCAAAUGGGAGAGAGCAUUAAGGGCCCUGCCAACUUCUGCAUGGCCUCGCCGGACAUUCGCAAAAAGAAAACAGUCCUUCACAUUCUCACGCAGCGGAGACAAGGCCCGGGUUCAGCACUGGAAGAGCAGUUGGGUAAACCAGUGGAAAUCCAAUUUGAGGAUAUACAGAAGUUCUCUCAUCAGCACACAUGCUUCAGAGCUCAGCGCGGUCCACCACAGCGACCUGCUCGGGCCACCCACUGCACCGCCAAACAAUCCCAACUCUGUCAGAUGCUGGUAGCAGCGGGGCAGUUUCCUGCUUUGGGCUCCAUACAGCAAAGCCACAGCCAAUUAUCUCAGCAUGGGGAAAUAGAUGUGUUUGCUUGGUUUUUAAAGUAAUGAAGACUGUGUUCUUACAGAAGGUAAGAGUGAAUGGUAAAUGUUUUAGUUUACUCUUGGAUCAAAAGGAAAGGAAGCUGAGGGACUGCAAUGACGUUUCAGUAGUAGAAGGAUUAAUCUGGUGAUGCUACAUUUUUGAUAUUGUCAGCAAAUCCCAUGAAAAGGCCAAAACCAACAACAUGGGGGGGUGCCCAUCAACUCCUAAGCAAAAUGUCUGGUUCUUUAACUCACUAAUUCCUCCUCACAAGUUAGUCGCUAAUUUUGUUUGUCUGCUGUCUGGUAGCAUGCUGUGGGUUUGUCAAAACCUUUUUUGCUGAAAACAGCUCCCUGCUGCUGCUGGAAACAGGGUUGGAGAGAGCAGUAUUUGUAUUCAACCAAAACAAGCUAAAUGAUGCUUUAAAAAAAGCUCAGCAGAUCUGGGGACACUGCAGAGUAAGGUGAUCAUUUUCUGUGGGGUUCGUCCCUAUGUAGUCUUUCGAUGUGUUGAAAAUAUAGAAAAUAUUGAUUAGUGGAUUAUUAUUAUUGGAUUAUUGUCCAAAGAGGUAACUUAAUUUGAUUUAAUAGCAUUGUUUUUAGAUUUUCAACUGCACAUUAAAAACAACAUCCUUCCUCUAUACUGUAUGGUUGUAUGCCCACACAACAAGAAUAAUAAUUAGAUUGUGACUAACAUUACCAUUUGACCAGUAGGGCGAUUUGAGGGUGGACGAGGGGGGGAUGCCAUCCCUCCAAAAUGACCAAAAUCCGUCCCUCUUGUUAACCUACUCAAAAGAUGCUCUGUGCUUUGUCUCGUAGUGGCGCUUCACAUUGCCGCUUUUAAUAAUCGCCACGAUAUCAGAACACAUGAGAUAUACUGGUUUUGAACUGCCUGUGGGAAGAUUGAUCAUGUAAGAGUAUGUUCAUUCUUGAUUGAAAGCUCUGUUUUCGCUGUCUCUUCCAUAGUUCCUUAACAAAUCGCCUACUGCAUUUGACCACUGCAAGAUUUCUAAGCCAUGAAUCUCAAAUCUUUUAAAGCUGGUCUUCAUUUACAUUUAAUCUUAAGCCAAAGACAUCUAUUACAAAAAGUGAGAGAUUUAUGCUCUUCCUUUGUUUUCGUCCUCCUUCCCUCUGGUCGGUCCAGACCAGACACUCAGUAGACUUUCACGCAGCAGCUGCCUGUAAUCCAAGGCAUCCUUGUCUGCCACAUAUGCUGUGAGCCGUUUUACCUGAGGCUGUUUUUCAGAAGAUUGAAUCUGCCAGAUGGAGAGUGAUGACAUGAAGAAACGAGAGACUGGAAGGACUGUGUUACGUGGUAUUUAUGAUGUCUUGACUCGUCUUUUGUCUUGCCCCUCCCCCAUUUAGCAUUAAUGAGCACUAUAUUAUUGCUGUCCAAUGAAAACCAUGUACCUCUAAAUGUGCUGAUUUGGAAUUCUUCAAAUAAACGUUUUGGUUUGUAAAACAAACCAUUUUGAAACCCAUUGCAAUAUCAUACAAAUACAUUGUCAUGUAAUGUAACUAAAAAGUGGCAUUUCACAAGUACUCUCGGUGACCUCGUAUGCACUGUUGGUCUGGAUGUAUGCUCUUAUCUCCUGCCUGUAUUGUUUGGCACUUCUCUCAUCCGUACACAUGCUUCAGAGCUCAGCCAGCUCUUAGCUCAUGAAAAGCUCAAGAAAAUGUUUUGGAGAAACAUUGUUUUCACAGGACAACAAUGAUAUAAUAAUUUAAUAAAUGGUUUGUAAAACACCAUGAUGUAGCUGUAUGCAGAUAUACUAUGAAUGAAAUAGACAAACUGCCGUUACUGCAGUGGCACCUCACUUGCACACCCCUGUAUAACACUGUAAUGCAUGUAGAGGGCUGGGCUGUGACAACAAACAGACUUGGGAAAAAAAAUUUAAAAGUAAAAGCCACACGCCUUUUCUCCAUAAAAUCUAUUUUACUUUCAUAAAUCUCCAUUAAAUCCGGCAGUAUUCCUACCAUUGACCACCGAUGGCUAGUCGCCACCCCGCAUAUCUCUUUCUAGCUUGGUACUAAUUCCACUUUUACAGUAUCACAUGUUGACGAUUUUUAUGAAAUGAUACAUUUCUUCUGAUUACAAUGCAAGAAAUGUGAUGUAAACUGUUACAGAUUGGGGGAAUCAGGACAUAAAUGGUGGCAAUUAACCCCAAUCUCAAAAUAUUUAACCAUCUCAUUAUCACUUCAUAACAGUGUAACGGCAGAACUACAAAGUGUGCUGGUUUGGUCAUAAAGCAAAAGUUCUAGUCAUGCAACCAUCACCAAGAGGCAGCAGAACAGUGGCUUAUACAAGAGCCAGAUGUGCAGGCACAUCUCGUGGGAUCUGCCCAAACAACAAACACUUUUGGAAAACAAAGACUAAAUAACACAUGGUAUGUGAGUCUCAAACUAAAAUAAGAUUAUUCCUUUUUCCUCAGACUGUUUAUGACAUCUGUGAAAGAACAUUUGUACACGACAGAAAAUGUAUAUAAAAUCCAGCAUGAAAAUA